UCAGUGACCAGGGUUCCAGUAGUACCUGAAAUGCUGGAAAAGAGCUGUGGUCUGCAGUCCUCUGGGACUGAAUUCAGAUCUGCAGGCAUGAUCCCUUUCCCUUCAGGAAUUCUCUCUCAUGUCUCAUUCCAUUCCUGGAGGCAUCACCUGCCCAGCAGAGCAAACUGACCCUGUGGGGACCUCACUUCUGGGAGCAGCUCCCUGAUCCCAGUUUCUCAUGACAUUUGAGCUGGCAGAGCAAGGAGUGGCUGGGGAGAGGUUGAGCAUCAUGUGUGGCAGCUGUUCCUGCUGCUGAGGUGGCUGCAAGGCUGGCUCAGGAGCCAGGCACAGUGUAGACCUGCCCAGCAUCUCGAUGCUGCCAUUCAAUGUUUCCUCUGAAGUAUGAGAGGCAGCAGCAGUGAAAAAAUCAUCCUUUAUACUGGUGGACCUGCUAGUCAGGAUUAUGGGACAAUCAAUUCUUUAUUUAUCUCUGCCACCUCUUUCAAGGUCAGGAUUUACACUAUUUUUUUUUUAUUAUUAUUUUUCUCCUUCUUUGGUAGGUCUGUCUCUGCUUUAAAAAGCCUUGAGAGCAGGUUACAGCCAGGUUCACUUUGGAAGGUGCUGGAUUUGAAGCAGCAGACUGAAGACACCAAGAUAUUAAUCCCCCUAUUUCUAUGCAGUUAUGCACUGGUUGUCAGCAACCUCAAGAAAUGCAAACCAGCCUUUUAAAAAUGCUUGUGAGCAUCAAGAGGCAAAGAUGCUCUGCUGCCAGCCUAGAACCAUCCCCCAGUAGUGUAGAGGUUUUGGGUGGUUCAUUUGGGAUUUUGUUCAUUUUGGGAUUUCUUGGUUAAUGUAUUAAUGAGUGUGGUGGGAUUAGCGUUGGUUAAUUAUUAGUGUAUUCACUUCUUGUUGUGAGAUAGGAUUGGGAGAAAGGUAA